rnacentral:lncRNA from 1 species
CCAUCAUUUUUUUUUGAGAAAACUUCAAAAAACCCCAUGUGGUUUCACACUUUUUCAUUUUAGUAUCCUAUGGUUUAAAGUGUAUCAAGUUAGUACCAUGUGGUUUCUCACUUUAUCACUUUAGUACCCUGUGGUUUAAAGUGUAUCAAGUUAGUACUCUGUGAUUUUAUUUUUGUAUCAAGUUAGUACCCUGUGGUUUUAUUUUUGUAUCAAGUCAGUACUCUAUGGUUUUUAAACCACAGAGUACUAAAGUGAUAAAGUUCGAAACAACAGGGUACUAAAGUGAUAAAGUGUGAAUCCACAGGGUACUAACUUGAUACACUUUAAAUCACAGGGUACUAAAGUGAAAAAGUGCGAAACCAUAGAGUACUAACUUGAUACACUUUAAACCACAUGGUACUAAAGUGAGAAAAAGUGAAACUACAAGAGGGGUAUUUGAAGUUUUUUCUUUUUUUUUUUUGGGUAAACAUACCACCCCUGUGAUUUUGCACUUCUCCACUUUAGUAUCUUAUGGUUUAAAGUGUAUUAAGUUAAUAUCUUGUAGUUUCAUUUUUAUCUUUUCGUCAAUUUCUCUAUUAAUAUUUCGUUAAAUUAUAUACAAAAAGAUUCAGCUACUACACCUAGGUUUAUCGAAUAUUCACUUUAGUACCCUUUAGUUUUAACUUUGUCACUGAUUUAAUGAAAAAAAUUAGUGAAAUCUAUAAUAGAAAGAUAAAAAUAAAACUAUAGAACGCUAAAUUGAUACACUUUAAAUAACAAGGUAUUAAAGUGAGAAAAUGAGAAACCACAUGAGUGGUAUUUGAAGUUUGAAACCACAGAUUGUUGG